AGGGUAGAUUUUGAUAAAUGUAAAUGCAGGUUUAAGGUUUUUAAAGUUUGACUUGGUCAAAAUCAAACGUGUUUUUGUUGAAGCCUUGGAGGACGAUCGGCUGGUCAAACUUACUAAAGGAAAUUAGGGUUUAUUUGUCCCAGUCAUUUGUUGAAGGAUGAAAGGAACAAACGAAAGCGGGUGCAGUUGGGUGAUUGCAGUCGGGAAGAGACGCACGAAGGUAGGGAGAAGGAAAAUGCGAGGGCUCGCGACUUAUGAAGAAGUUUUCUCGGAGGCGUUUCUGGUGUUCGGUCGAACCGAAGGAAGAGAAGAGACGAAAGCAGAGAGGCUUUCUCUCUUUCCCGUCCGGCUGCUAGAUGCGAGGAAAGAUGAGGUCCGAAGAGACGGAGGGGGAUCGGUCCGGGGAGGCGUCGCGAGCAGCGACGUCAGUGAAGAUGAGACCUUCGGAGGUCGUUGGUCGCUAGGAACAGAAGAGAGAGUGUGAGUGUGGGGUUGUGGUGGUUGCACGGUGGCCUCACGGUCGGCUGUUCAUCGACGAAGAUGGAGGCGAACGGAGAUAGGGAUGGUGGAACAAGGAGAGCAGGUGAGGGGGUCCGGUGGUUUUUGCUUGAAUAUCAUAGGUCGUUUUCUUCUUCUUCUUCUUCCUUUUUUUCCGAUCAAUCAAUAAGUAAAAUUGAUUUUUUGGGAUGUUGUUUGUUCUAUCAUGAAUCUAUGAUAUGAACAAAAUAGAUAUUUUGGGUUUGCUUUUGACAGAAAAUCGAUGGGGUUGUUGCUGUUUGAGUGGUGCUUGUCAUCGAGGGAGAGGGAGAACGGGGCUGCCUCUUCUUGACUUUCACAGGGAAGUGAAGGAGAAGAAGGGCGGAGUGUUACGUUGAGGGUAGAGUAGGGAAGAGGGUAAACGUGAUUGAAGCAAUACUUGGGAUGAUUCCUUAUUUGAUUGUAAUUUUACAGAUUGAUCUUCUUGCAGACGUAGCUAAUUUAUAGUUAGAUAUGGGGUAUAUGGCAUAUGGGGAUAUAUUUGAAUGAUCUUGAUAGAUUUAGGAUGGUAUUUGAGUAUUAAGAUUUGUACAACAUAUACUCACACAUGUAUAAAUAUUUUUAUGAUUUUGGGGAA